CUGUAGUUUAGAAAUACCAACAGAAUUUAUGUAACGAUCUAGUCCACUAACACUAAUAAUGUGUUAGAUUCAAACCGCCAGUCGCAAAUACUUAAGCUUAAUUGGUAUUAUAUUCUAGAGUCUCUGAUCUUUAUAUUUCUAAUUAGGCUAAAUUACAAAAAAUCUCUCAGUCAAUACUUGAUUUUUUUACUUUCUCCCAUGUCAUUCAAAAAUAUAUAUUUUGUCUCCUUAAAAAAUAAAAAAUGUUAACUUUGAUCCUCGCCGUCAGUGUUUCGUUAGGAUUCUAUUUAUGUACUAUUUUUUAUACCCAAAAUACCUCUAAAAUUCUCCUCCUUCCUCAUCCUCGGUCACGCCGCCUCGCACUCACCCACUUCUCUGUCCAUGCCCACACACACGCUCUCGCCCACUUUUGCCACCUCACCCUCGCUCUCGCCCACCUCUCCAUCUGCGCCCACUCCAAAGAAGAUGAGGAUAAUUUGGUUAUUUUGUUGCAGCGUAUCUUUCUGUGAAUAUUUUUUAUUUUUCAAGAAGGCAAAGUGUAAGUUUUUAUAUGACAGGAAAGAAAAAUAAAAAAACGGAUAUUGACGGAAAGUUUUAUGUAAGUUAGCCUAUUU
rnacentral:lncRNA from 1 species